UUCACUGAUAGCUCAGUCGGUUGAGCAUGAGACUCUUAAUCUUAGGGUUGUGGGUUCGAGCCCUACAUCAGGCAA